CCAGGGUUGGCCGAGCGGUUUAGGCAGCGAACUCAUAAUUCGCCCCAGACAGGUUCAAUUCCUGUACCCUGGA
rnacentral:tRNA from 2 species